AUUAAAUAUCGCUAACCACGAGGUUUUCUUUAUUGAAAGAUAUUUGAAGCUUUUAAAUUUGUUUAGUUAUUCUAAAUUGUAUAAUGAAUAAAAGUAUUUUUUCUCUUGAUUUAGCACAUUCAGUGGGCACAGCUAUGUCACCCAAAUCACCUGUAACUGUUGAAAAACACAUUUUUUGGACAUAUGCAGAUGUUUGUGCUAAAGUUAAAGAGCAUGAAAUGUUGCACACAGUACAUUAUGUCAUUGCUCGCACAGGAAAGAUGGAAAAAAACUUUGAAGAACUGUUAAAGAAAGAUCACAAAGUUUUUUUUGAAGACAAAGACUUUUUCUACACUGGUGUGCCAUUCAUUUUUUCAGGACAUACUUCUCUUGACUGUCAACAAGGAAUGGACAGAAACAUUAGAGCAAAAGCUCAGUACAGAAAAAAGAAAAAUGAUGAAGCAGUUACCGACCAUUGUUGCCAAAACAACAAAGUUAUUCUUCAGGAUACCAAAAAGUUUGAUUGUCCAGCGAUGGUUUAUAUAAAAGAAAUAGUCGAAUUUCCGGAGUUUGAGCUAAUAAGAGAUUCAUCAUGGUUAAGAAAAGAAACUUCAAAAAAACUUCGUCUAGCCAUGUUGGAGAAAAGAAAUUUAGUUAUGCGUAGAAAAUAUAUUUUAGUUUUGCCAGAUAUUUCUGCUCAUAAAAACCAUGCUACAGGAGAUGCAGCAGGUCUCUGUCAACCUAUUUCUGAGGAUCUGAUUAUAAAAAUUGGAGAAUUAGUAAAAAAGGGUGUCAACUCUGUUCCGGAGAUGAGGCGGCAUCUUGAUUUUUUUGUUCAAGCUCAAUUUACUUUAAAUAAUGUUCCUCACAAAGAAAACAAGCGUUACUUUCCAUUGGAUAAGACCAUUCGAAACCAUAUGAUAAAUGCAAGAAGAAAACUUCGGAGGUCUUUGAUCGAUCAAGAAUGUUUGCUUGAUAAAAUUAAUGAAUGGAGAAUCAUCUCCAAAGAAGCCAUGAUAAAAUUUAGACCAAAAGGUAUCAGUAUUCUGGAAGACAAUGAUCCACAGCUUAAGGAUUCAUUGUUGUUUGUAUUCCAAGAUAAGUGGCAAAGGAGACUGCUUUUGCGAUAUGGAAAUGAGCUUAUUUUCCUUGAUGCUACAUAUCGCACAACAAGAUAUGCUCUUCCCUUGUUUUUUCUAGUUGUCAAGACAAACACUGAUUAUCAAGUUGUCGCGAUUUUUGUAUGCGAGAAUGAAACAACAGAAGCUAUCACAGAGGCACUGAUGUGCAUUAAAAAAUGGAAUCCUUUGUUUCAACCUAAAUUUGUUUUAACUGAUUAUUCCAAUGAAGAGAUAAACUCAUUAGAGUAUGUGUUUCCAGGAUCAAAUGUCUUAAUUUGUGACUUUCACAGAGAACAGGCUUGGGAAAGAUGGUUGUCAAAAAUCACUAACGGAUGUUCCUCAGUAAAAGAAGUAGUUAAGUUAAAACUUCGUCAAAUUGCUAAUUCAAAAACAGAAGAGAUUUGCAUAAAUGCUGUAAAUGCUUUCAAAGAGUCAGAAGAGUGGAAAAAUCACCCAAAACUUCGAGAGUACUUAAAAAACACUUGGUUAUGCAACCAAAAGAGAUGGGUGUUUGCUUUUCGGCAACAUCGCCUUUUGCGAAAUGUCAACACAAACAAUGGUACUGAAAGACAGAACCAAUCUCUAAAAUACAGCUUUUUGGAAAAAAGGAAAAACUCUUCUCUUACAGCUAUGCUAAGUGUUUGCAUUGAUGAAUUCCUUCCUCAUAACUAUAACAAUUAUGCUGAUAAAAACAGAAGAGCGCACUCAUCUUAUAGAAAGUAUAAUAGUAAGAUUCCAGUAUAUUUAAUAAACCGCCCUCGACCUUUAGUAAAGCAUUGCAUGAACAUGAUAGAUAAGCUACAAGGUUUAGACUUGGAGGGAAUUAAUGCUGUUACAGAUAGAUUGUACAAUGUUGCAUCAUUUCAGUCAAAUAGUAGAGAAAUUUACCAAUGUUUUCUUGGUGAUGCAAAACACUUGCCAAGCUGUUCCUGCCCUUCUUGGUUUAGUAGCAUAUAUCCAUGCAAACACAUUUUUGCAGUUUUCAGUAAAGAAAAUCUUUCUUGGUCUGAUUUUGAUCCAUCUUAUGGCAAUUCUCCAUAUUUCAUCUUAGAUCCAUUGCUGAAUGAAAAUAAUUACUCAACUUCAUUUCAUUGUCAAGAUUUACCUGAAACUGUUAAUUUAUCUUUUAAAAAAAAUCCUCUUGAUAAUGCCAAAGUAGUGAGUGACAGCAGUGAGUUUGUACCAUCAGAACAUUGUCAGACAUUACCAAAUAUUAAUCAUAUACAGGCUAGUCAUCAUACACCUGCUGCAUGUCGUGAACUCUUAAACGAAAUCAUAAAACUUACUCAUUUAAGUAAAUCUCAAACAGCAACAGAUAACUUGUUUGAGGGACUUUAUAAACUUAAAACCAGCUAUGCAGAAUCUCUUACAAAAGAACAAGGCAUUAUUCUUCGGCCAGACCCUAAACCUGACAUUUGGAAAAAGUCUGUUACAAAUUCUCCUAAUCUUGUUAAUAUUCCAGUUCAACGGAAAAGAAAAAUAACCAGAAGAGUAGGUGUAAAGUAUGAUGUUAAAAAAGCAGCUUCAAAUAUAAGUUUGAUAUCAAACAUACAAAAUGAUUCUUGCUUUUCUGAGAUUGUUACAAAUCAUGUGAUUAGUGAUAGUUGUGAAAUGUUUGAUGUUUCAACAGAGUCAUUUGAACUUGAAGAAGAAAUAUCUAAUAAUUGCCAGGAGCUGCAUGAAGCUACUAUAAUUAAUGAUUUUGACCCACUGCAAAGCACCCUUUACUCCAUUCAAAGUCUGAAAUCCUCUUUCAUUGGAAAUUCCGAAAGAAUUGAUAUAGAAAAAGGGAAAAUGCUUAAUGACAAUACUAUUCACUUUUUUCAACGAUUAAUGUCGAUUCAGUUAAAUGUUGAUGUUGGUUUGCAGGAUCCUAUUAAAGGAAAAGUUUUAUCUUUUGAUAUCUAUCAGAGCAUUCCGUUUGUACAAAUCCUCCAUGAUGGAAAUUUACACUGGAUUUGUGUUACCACAUAUGAUUGCAAGCCUGGUGAGGUAUACAUUUUUGAUAGCCUUUUCCAUGGUUCAAUAAGUAUUGAAACAAAAAGGCAAAUAUGCUCUAUUUUACAUUGUCAAAAAAAAAAACUUGUGAUAAAGGUUUUACCAACUCAACAGCAAACUAACGGUGUAGAUUGUGGUCUGUAUUCUAUUGCCUGGGCACGCCAGAUACUUGAAACAAAGUGUAUUCCAUUAGUUAGUUUAAUGUUUGAACAAAGUGCAAUGAGGAAUCAUCUUCUAAAGUGUUUGCUAAACAACCGAUUAGAUGUCUUCCCAACUGCCAUUAAUCCUUCAAUAUCUAAAAGAUGCCUAGCAAAGACUUUUCAUCUUCUUUUACAUUGCUCAUGUAGAAUGUUUUGGACCCUAGAAGAUGAGCACAUUUUUAACAGGCAAAUGGCUGAAUGCAGUACUUGUUGCAAAUGGUUUCAUCGGGAGUGUGAAAAAAUCCCACCAACUGCAUAUGAGAAGGAUGAUGUAAUCUGGAACUGUCAUGAGUGCCACAGGCAAGCAUCGCAAAGAUAAAGAUUUGUUUAUCAACGCCACCUGCUAACAUCUACAGCUCAAAAUCAAUUUUUGGAGAAAAUAUUUGAAGAAUAUAAUGAAAAAAGAUGCACAAGCCACCUCAGUCAGCUUUGGUGGGGUGUUAACUCACCUAUAAAAUGUUUUUCUAAUGAAUAUUUAAAGUCUCCUAAGUAAUGUGAUGGAGUACAGAAGUAACUAACUCUAGCAAUCCAGUUCUUGUUGCUGAAAAAGGAACCUAAUUUUUUUUUUAUUUAUAUAUUUUUUUUAUUUAUAUUUUUUUUCAACUGAAAUUUUAAGUUGAUUUUUUGUGCAACUAAAAUAAUAUUCAUGGGGCAAAAUAAGCAACUUGCACAUUUUCAUUUUUGAAAUAGAAAAUUACUUUUUAAAACUAUGAACUACUUUAAUUAAAACUAUUAUUUAACUAUUUAAAGUGCAUUUUUGAACAUAAGAAGUGCGGAUAUAUACAACAUUCUGAUUUAGGUGCUCUCCGUGGUACACUAUAAAUAAAAUAAGAAUACAUUAAAGCAUAUUCAAUAAUAUGUAUAUAAAUAAAUAGAUAGAGAUUGUUUUUUUUUUUCAACCUCUUUAACCACUAUAACAUUUAAAAGUUACUGGAAGAGAAAAGAUGAAGUUUGUAGAUCAAGAUAACGAUUGACAGAUGACUUAAAAGAGUGAAUUAUAUGAAUCAGGAUAAGAAGAAAAUGAAGGAAGUGAAUUCCAAAGUGCUGAUGUUCAAGGAAAAAAAUAGAGGAAUACGAGUUUUAGGAGCACUUAAGAUAAGUCACAGAAAAAGAAUGAGACUUAAGAGAUAAGAAUGAGACAAUUGAAACACAAGAAUGAUAGUAAAUGGCACAAGGUACGCUAGCUCUUUAGAGCAGUGCCCAUUAUAGUAUUUGUAGAAAAGAGAAAGAGAGGCAACAUGAUGAUGUGACAAUGGUUGGAGGUUGGCUGCAAGAGCAUCCAAUUAUGU
rnacentral:misc_RNA from 1 species